UACGUAGGUGGCAAGCGUUAUCCGGAAUUAUUGGGCGUAAAGCGCGCGCAGGCGGUUUCUUAAGUCUGAUGUGAAAGCCCACGGCUCGACCGUGGAGGGUCAUUGGAAACUGGGGAACUUGAGUGCAGAAGAGAAAAGCGGAAUUCCACGUGUAGCGGUGAAAUGCGUAGAGAUGUGGAGGAUCACCAGUGGCGAAGGCGACUUUCUGGUCUGUAACUGACACUGAGGCGCGAAAGCGUGGGGAGCAAACAGG
rnacentral:misc_RNA from 1 species